rnacentral:rRNA from 1 species
CCUACGGGUGGCUGCAGUGAGGAAUAUUCGUCAAUGGACGAGAGUCUGAACCAGCAAAGUCGCGUGAAUGAUGACUGCCCUCUGGGUUGUAAACUUCUUUUAUAUGGGAAUAAAAUGUUCCACGUGUGGGAUUUUGUAUGUACCAUAUGAAUAAGGAUCGUCUAACUCCGUGCCAGCAGACGCGGUACUACGGAGGAUCCGAGCGUUAUCCGGAUUUAUUGGGUUUAAAGGGAGCGUAGGUGGAUUGUUAAGUCAGUUGUGAAAGUUUGCGGCUCAACCGUAAAAUUGCAGUUGAAACUGGCAGUCUUGAGUACAGUAGAGGUGGGCGGAAUUCGUGGUGUAGCGGUGAAAUGCUUAGAUAGCACGAAGAACUCCGAUGGCGAAGGCAGCUCACUGGACUGCAACUGACACUGAGGCUCGAAAGUGUGGGUAUCAAACAGGAUUAGAUACCCGUGUAGUC